rnacentral:rRNA from 1 species
UACGUAGGGUCCAAGCGUUAUCCGGAAUCACUGGGCGUAAAGCGUGCGUAGGUGGCGUGUUAAGUGUGAUGUUAAAUCGUGGGGCUCAACCCUAUCAAUGCAUCGCAUACUGGCAUGCUAGAGGGAAGCAGAGGCAAGUGGAAUUUGUAGUGUAGCAGUGAAAUGCGUAGAUAUUACAAGGAACACCAAUGGCGAAGGCAGCUUGCUGGGCUUCUUCUGACACUGAGGUACGAAAGCGUGGGGAGCGAACAGG